GGAGAAAGGAGGAAGGAGGAGGAGGAGAAGAAGAAGAGGAGGAGGAAGAAGAAAAUGACAAGCGUCGCCUGCACACGUCAGCACAAAUGGGAACAUGAUGAGUGAUGCUGCCUGGAGUUAAAGGAGGCCAGGAGCACCAGAAGCUGGAGGAGGCCGGGGUGGAUUCUCGCCUGGAGGCUUCAGUGGGAGCACGAGCUCCCGACACUUCGGUUCCAUCUCUUGUUUAAAGGCACCCAGUUUCUCAUCAUUUGUUACAGCACCAUGGAAAACCCACACACAAGUGAAGCCCCGACCCACCUCCCAAGUGCCCAUCUGAGCACCCCUCGUGGACUCUGAGCAGGGGGUUGCCAUCACCAACUCCAAGUCUUGCAGCCCCUCUUCCCUUCAGUCUGGCUGCCACCUUCUUCAUUGCCCUGGAAAAAAAUAAUGAAGUUUCACCAUUUAAAGGGUUUCAGUGCAGCUUGCUAUGGGAACACUGGAGAGUAACACAAAUGGCCAAUUGUCCUAAUAGCCACCAUGGAUUGGAUGGAUGCUAACAACAGGCUCACAGUUCUCCUUCUGUUGCCUCCUUUUAUCCACAUGAGAAUCAAACAAGACUACUGAUUAAAUGAAGCCUUUGAUGAAGUGCAUGCAGUUUGUAGCUUGAUUCAUGGGAAUACUCAUCACAGACUGAAAGUGUAACCCAGGGUCUCUGGGUUUUUGGGAACGCGCUGUGUAAAAGUAUCUACUUGUAACUGUUACUCCCUGAGUUGUUGUUGUUUUAGAAAGUUCCAAGAAGAAGCUUAGCCUUGGAAAAAACAAAAACUGGUUGAAUCCAGAAGUGGAGAUGAAUUUUGGCCAACGCUCCUCACUGCCACACUAAAAACCCUGCUCAGAGAGGAGCUUAUUCACCAUGUUCUAUUCAUGCAAUGUGUGUGGAAACAUGAUCUACGACAGCAUGCGUGCUGCCUUCACCCUACCUCUACAUACAAUGACUCAUUUAACCUGCUGAAUAAAAGCCCUGUUUUCACC
ensembl:lncRNA LINC01229 long intergenic non-protein coding RNA 1229